rfam:Candidatus Kaiserbacteria bacterium RIFCSPLOWO2_01_FTLL_52_12b rifcsplowo2_01_scaffold_9481, whole genome shotgun sequence.
GCGGGUAUGGUUCAGUGGUAGAACAACUGGUUGCCAAUCAGUUGACGCGAGUUCGAUUCUCGCUACCCGCA